rnacentral:lncRNA from 1 species
UGGAAGGAAAGUGGUUGUACACAUUUGCUGUAGUGUGGGUUUCAUUAGAAGAAUUACUUCUGAGAAACUGAAUAAAUCACUAAGGACUUGCUUUCUGUUUAGAAAGUUUUGGCUCGGAUAAAAGAGCAGAUUAAACCUUCGUUGAGAUCAAAUUUCCAUUAGAUGGACGAUCUUCAUCCAAACACCUAAAGACUAACUCCUGUUCUGAAGCUAAAGAAACCACAAGGAAGAAAUAUGGUAUCCUGAAAAUAUCAUACUCUGUAAUAUUCCUUUGACACGUGCUUUGACAGUAAGAACUAAAACUUGGAUUCCCUCCACUCUUCCCUUUGUUGUGGACACUGUCAAUAGAAGGCAAACCCCAUGAUGCCAAAAUUGGCUCUUUCAAGGGAGUAACAUGGUACCUUCUGGGAGUCAUGAAACUACCCUGAGAUGCACAAUAUGUCCUUGCGAGUGGGGGCACUGAAACUUCAAAAUCCUUGAAACAAGGUAGCUUUACA